rnacentral:rRNA from 1 species
GAGUUUGAUCAUGGCUCAGGAUGAACGCUGGCGGCGUGCUUAACACAUGCAAGUCGAACGAACCUUCGGGUUAGUGGCGGACGGGUGAGUAACGCGUGAGAAUCUGCCCUCAGGAGGGGGAUAACGGCUGGAAACGGCCGCUAAUACCCCAUAUGCCGCGAGGUGAAAUGAAUUUCGCCUGAGGAUGAGCUCGCGUCUGAUUAGCUAGUUGGUAUAGGUAAUGGCUCACCAAGGCAUCGAUCAGUAGCUAGUCUGAGAGGAUGAUCAGCCACACUGGGACUGAGACACGGCCCAGACUCCUACGGGAGGCAGCAGUGGGGAAUUUUCCGCAAUGGGCGCAAGCCUGACGGAGCAACGCCGCGUGAGGGAUGAAGGCCUCUGGGCUGUAAACCUCUUUUAUCAAGGAAGAAGAUCUGACGGUACUUGAUGAAUAAGCCACGGCUAAUUCCGUGCCAGCAGCCGCGGUAAUACGGGAGUGGCAAGCGUUAUCCGGAAUUAUUGGGCGUAAAGCGUCCGCAGGCGGCCCUUCAAGUCUGCUGUUAAAAAGUGGAGCUUAACUCCAUCAUGGCAGUGGAAACUGAGGGGCUUGAGUGUGGUAGGGGCAGAGGGGAUUCCCGGUGUAGCGGUGAAAUGCGUAGAUAUCGGGAAGAACACCAGUGGCGAAGGCGCUCUGCUGGGCCAUCACUGACGCUCAUGGACGAAAGCCAGGGGAGCGAAAGGGAUUAGAUACCCCUGUAGUCCUGGCCGUAAACGAUGAACACUAGGUGUCGGGGGAAUCGACCCCCUCGGUGUCGUAGCCAACGCGUUAAGUGUUCCGCCUGGGGAGUACGCACGCAAGUGUGAAACUCAAAGGAAUUGACGGGGGCCCGCACAAGCGGUGGAGUAUGUGGUUUAAUUCGAUGCAACGCGAAGAACCUUACCAGGGUUUGACAUCCUGCGAAUCUUUUGGAAACGAGAGAGUGCCUUCGGGAGCGCAGUGACAGGUGGUGCAUGGCUGUCGUCAGCUCGUGUCGUGAGAUGUUGGGUUAAGUCCCGCAACGAGCGCAACCCACGUCUUUAGUUGCCAGCAUUUAGUUGGGCACUCUAGAGAGACCGCCGGUGAUAAACCGGAGGAAGGUGUGGAUGACGUCAAGUCAUCAUGCCCCUUACAUCCUGGGCUACACACGUACUACAAUGCUACGGACAAAGGGCAGCAAGUUCGCGAGGACAAGCAAAUCCCAUAAACCGUGGCUCAGUUCAGAUCGUAGGCUGCAACUCGCCUACGUGAAGGAGGAAUCGCUAGUAAUCGCAGGUCAGCAUACUGCGGUGAAUACGUGCCCGGGCCUUGUACACACCGCCCGUCACACCAUGGAAGUUGGCCACGCCCGAAGCCGUUACUCCAACCCUUGUGGAGGAGGACGUCGAAGGUGGGGCUGAUGACUGGGGUGAAGUCGUAACAAGGUAACC